ACAGGCUUAUCACACUGCCCACAGCCUGCUCUGCAGGGUUUGCUCUGCAGGGCUCAUGGCAGCCAGGCCAGGGCUGAGCCACGUUUGGGGUUAAACGUGGCCAUGGCACCAAACAGAGAGUGCAGAGGAGCACAGUUCUGGGGUGUCAGUGUGCUCUGGGGACACGGGGUUUGGAUUCUGCUGUUGCCAUGAGCUCCCAGGUGCUGGUCAGAGCCUCACACCUGGGCUCACGCCAGGUCUCGCCCCUGGCUGGGCAGGUUGGCUUGGCUGUUGUUCAGGGGUCCCUGUGUGAGGGUCAGAGAUGGCCGUGGUGUCUCUGAGCUGAAGCCCCUCUGAGCAGACUUGUGUUCCACCUGGGCCCUACUGCCACCUUUGUUUUUGUGUCAAACUGCUCUGCUCUGCUCUGCCAGCACAAGAAGUUUUUACACACACUUAGAGAGAAUGUGAGCCAAAGCCAGGCUGGGUCCUGCCCAGCCUGAGGGGCACAGGGAGGGAACAGAUGUUCACUCCAAAGCAAAAUCAUUCCUGAGCUUGAAUCUGCACUAAUGGCUCUGGCCCUGCAUCGAGGACUUCAAAGCAAAAGGAAUUUUUUUGAAUAGUUCCAGCUCAGGUGUAACUGAAAUCCCAUUUUACAGACUAUUUCCACAGACUGCAUGUUUGUGAAGCCCAGGAAACAGGACUCACUUUUCUGCAGCAAACUGGAGCCUGGCUGAGUGUGCUGAUGCCACGUGGAUUUUCCCUGAGCUUACCUUGGUGAGGUAAAGCUCUGAGCUCAAAUUCCUGGUGAAAUAAAUUUACACACGGUGUGAAACCCCUUCCAUCUGUUCUGGAGCCGUGUGAGGGGCUGCCAGAGCUGUUUGCCACCCUUGGUAUGGCUGAAGCAGGCACUGAGUAGUGCAGAUCAACAGCACUGCUGUGUUAUUGUGACCCUCCUGAUUGAAGGAAUGGCCCUUGAGAUGCCUGUGGACUUCAGACACAGCUGCCACAAACAAGCAAAAAGGAAACCUUCAGCAGCUCCCCUGAGCAGCCAUGGAGAGCUUGGAGCAGAGUUGUGGGGUGGAUUUGCCACAGAGGCUGUGCUGGCCCUGCACUGUCUGAUGUGGAGCCACAGCAGGAGCCCCAGGUGCAGAGGAGGUGCCCACCUGGGCUGUCGUGGUGUGUGUCACCUCCUGAAGGAUGGCUCCAUCCUCCCCAGGGCUGACCUGCCUGGUCCCUGCAUAGGAGGGGAUACUCACACCUGUGAACCAGCUCUGCGAAACCCCAGCUCAGCUGCUGCUGCUUCAAGCCAGAAGACCCCAAACCUGAUGGUUUUGAUGUAACAAAGAUGAUUUCACUGAUGAAAUUGGCCUGAAACUGGCCAUUGUUGGCCUGAUGGAGGUGCAUUUCAAUAAAGGUAGGCUCCUGGAUGUAUGGCUUUCCCUUCAGAUUUUAUUUCAGGACUGAUUUGCUCAGAAGUGUGGGGCAUUGCUUCCUGCUUGCAUGUCUGUCUGGCAUCCACAGGUGCUGAACGUGGAAGUGCCUAAAUGGGCUUUUCCUCAAAGUGCUCUAGCAGGGCUCCUAUAAACUGGGAGUUUGGAGUAACAGCCACAAGUCAUUGCAUAGAACCCAUUUCAG
rnacentral:lncRNA from 1 species